rnacentral:rRNA from 1 species
AUUGAACGCUAGCGGGAUGCCUUACACAUGCAAGUCGAACGGAGUGGCGAACGGGUGAGUAAUGUAUCGGAACGUGCCCAGUAGCGGGGGAUAACUACGCGACAGGGUAACUAAUACCGCAUACUAUUUGAGCGGCCGAUAUCGGAUUAGCUAGUUGGUGGGGUAACGGCUCACCAAGGGGCCGAUCCGUAGCUGGUUUGAGAGGACGACCAGCAAAACUGGGAUGAAGACACGGCCCAGCCUCCUACGGGAGGCAGCAGUGGGGAAUGUUGUACAAUGGGGGAAACCCUGAUCCAGCCAUCCCGCGUGUGCGAUGAAGGCCUUCGGGUUUUAAAGCACUUUUGGCAGGAAAGCGGUACCUGCAGAAUAAGCACCGGCUAACUACGUGCCAGCAGCCGCGGUAAUAC